GUGCUCGCUUCAGCAGCAUAUAUACUAAAAUUGGAACGAAACAGAGAUGAUUAGCAUGGCCCCUGUGCGAGGAUGACAUACAAAGACUACAGCUAGUGAAAUGAAAA